AAUAGGCUUGCUAGCUGAUUGUAUAUAUAUGCUGGCCGUAUUUCAUAGCAAGCUCGCUUUUAAUAGGCAACCAGUAAUAUGAGCAAUUCUUUACCUACAAGCCUAUAAUUAUAUUAACUCUAAGAGAAAUCUAAUAAUAAACGGAGUGAAUUGAAAUAUCUUAUUAACUUCAGGAAAAGAAAUCAAAAGAGAUUCUAUGAUUAGCGUGAGCUAAAAUAGAGUAGCCUAGAAAGUCAAAUGGUGGAUAAACUGUUUAAAUUUAAUGGGGAACCUUCCUCAAAGGCUAAAUAUAAUAUGUAAGCGAUAGUGGAAAGUACCGUGAGGGAACCAAAACAAAAACAGUGAUUUUAUAAGCAGUUCGGAAAAAUAAAAAAGUUAGAACGUACCUUUUGCAUAAUGGGUCACCAAGUUAACAUUAGAUGCGAGAUUCUACGUAGUUAAACCGAGCGUUAAAAUAACGGUAAGUGUCUAAAGUUAGACCCGAAGCCUGGUGAUUUUACCAUAAUCAGGAUUAUAAAAGUCCGAACGGAAUAUUGUAGCAUAAAUAUCCGAAGAAUUAUGGUAGGUGUAGUGAAAGACAAUACUGACCAGGAUAGCUGGUUUUCUGCGAAACCUAUAACAGUAGGCAAUUUAAGUAUAAUAUCUUAGCAGGUACAGAAUUUAAUCUCAGACAAGACAUAAGGCUUAACUUGUUAACAAGUUAAGCCCAUGUUUUAUUUUGUACAAAUUGGGGGAUCAUGAAGAUUUUAUCAGUGAGUAUGUAGACUCGGAAUGGCAAAGAUAUAUCUUAAAUCAUCAGACAUAGAAUGAUAAGGUUGUAUGUCAAAAGGGAAACAGCCCAGAACAAGAGUUAAGGUUCCUAAAUUAUUAGUUGAGUGAAAUUAAGAAGGUUUUUAUUAAAGUCGACAAGGAGAUAGGCUUAGAAGCAGCCAUAAUUUUAUGACCUCGUAACAGAGCGCUUGUUAAGUUUUAAAAGCAUCGAAAAUUUAUCGGAUCUAAACAAUAUACCGAAACCUUGUCCAUAUUAUUUUAUAAUUAAUAGUCUCAGCAAGCUCGGACUAUACAAUUAUAAUUAAAUGGGGUAGCAGAACGUUGAGCUAAAUUAAGAUUUUUAUUUUUUAAAUGAAAUUAUAAUAAUUUAACUCAAGUGAUAAUGGUGACAUGAGUAACUAAAAGAAAAUUUUCCGCCUAAAGCUUAUGGAUGUAAUUAAGUAACGGCCUCUAAGUUUAUGGAAUCAAAAGAUUAAAACGAUGAGACAAUCUUUCAUACUAAGGACGACAUUUUAAGUGCAAAAUGUACUGGAAAAAUAGUAAUAAGUUUAAGCUAUGGCUAGAACUAGCUAUAGCUGUAAAUGGAAAGUAACCGUACCUAGAAUCUGAAACAAGUAAGCUAGUAGAGAAUACGAAGGCGUAAAUGAGCUAACAAUCAUAAAGGAACUCGGCAAAUUGACUACCGUAACUUCGGGAUAAGGAGAGCUCAUUAUUCUUGAUUAAUAUCAGGUAAAGAGGAAGAAGCAUGAAAUAGUGUUGUACGACUGUUUAAUUAAAACACAGCACUUUGCUGAAAGAUUAAAAAUCUAAGUAUAGAGUGUGAUGUCUGCCCGGUGCCGGCUGGUUAACAGAUAUAAUUAAAUAUACUAAUAUUUGAUGUAGACGGAAACCCCGGUUAAAGGCGGCCUUAACGUGAGGGUCCUAAGGUAGCGAAAUGCCUUGGCCGUUAAAUGCGGUCUUGCAUGAAUGAUGUAACGAUACAACAGCUGUCUCUAUGAUUGACUCAGUGAAAUUGGAAUAGCUGUGCAGAUACAGUUUACCUCUAGUUAGACGAGAAGACCCUAUGCAGCUUUACUGUCACUAAUUAUAGAGUAUGAUAAACAAUUUUCAGUUUAUAAGGUAAUUGACGGCCGGCUUGCUUAGCAAGCUGGCUCUAUGACAAUGAGAAUCCUUUAUUUUUUUUUCAUAUGAAUGAAUUGGUUUAGGACGAGCUUAAGCUCGUAGUAAAUCAACCUAAUUCAGCUUAUUUUCCUUUCUGCUGUAAGCGCAUAAUGAUAGAUUAUACUUAAAUUUGGAUUUAUGCCUGCAGAAAUAGAUAAGUACCCUUGGUUAAGGAACUAUCGCUAGGGGACAGUUUAUGUGGGGCACAGACCCUGUAAAGAGUAAACAGGAGUGUCUAAUAAUUUAUAAUUAUUUUGUUUGCGAUUUAAGGUAGUAGAACUAUUUUUAAUCAUAUAAAAUUAUUUAUAUGUACAUUCGUUGUAUAUAUAUUUAAAAAAAGGUAGGAUUUUCACUAUAUAGAAAUUAGAGAUAAUAAAAAUAUUAAGUAGUAGCUGCUGAGUCCUAAUCCCGCCGAAGGGGGGAUAUGGACUACUAUGUAUUUCAUAGCAAGCUCGCACUAAUAUUUUUUAACUAUUAAGACUGGCUAUCUAGCUAUGCUCUAAUAGUUAUGUUUUAAUUAUCUAAAAAGCUCAACGGCUAAAUCUUGCCUUACUGUUUGAUUAUCAACAAAUCUUACAGUUGCGUAAGCAGGGCAUAGGAUCACAAGAUGCAACAAGGAAAGAUCUUGGAUUAUUGGAAAAGCUACGCUAGGGAUGUUUGUCCUUUAAUAUUUUAUUUCACUGUGGUAUGGGUCAUAGUCCUACGGACU
rnacentral:rRNA from 3 species